GAACAGUGAACUUCCUCAGACACCUGCUACUUCCCUCUUUGGGUUUGAGCUGGUACUGGCUGGUUUUGUACAGCAGGUGCUGUGAGCAAAGCAGGCUGACAAACUCGAAAUACAACUCUGCAAAGCAGUGAGUAUUGCUGCAGUCARCACUAAUUGUGGGCAGGAAGGUGGGUGGGCAGGUCAGUUACCCCAGCUGGAUGGUCUGGACCUGUGUAAGUCCUCAGUGGGYUUACUUCAAUGUUUGCUCAGCACUGUUUGUUCCCUGAGUUCUGCCCACUGGAUUUCUGUUCCASUCCUUUAUCCCACACGUAUCUGGCCUUGUGUUCAAUCAGGGAGAAACAUCCCUCUUCAAAGGAAAAACUCAGGUCCGGGUCCCACCCCAAUCCUGUUUACACUKCUAAGGGCUUUGUCUACUUUAGUGAAGCUUGAGGACUGAAGCAAAAUGGAGACUGAACUAUAGGUAUGUUGAAGUAGCUGAAGGCAUCAGUUUAUAUCCAAUGCUCUUUCUGUGACAGGAUCUCUACUGACAUGUACCAAGGAUGGUGGACUGAGAGGCCCUGAGCUACCCUCUAGUGCUCAGGUUUCCUCUGCCUUCAAGGAAAAGCCAAUCCUGAGAUUGAAGGGAAGAAAAGAAGGAUGCUGCCCCAGAUUCCUGCAGAAAAAGCAGUGGGUGAUGCACAGUGAGCUCGGAGGAUAGGCAUAGCUGGUCAUCGUGGGACAAUGUAGAGAAAGAGAAAUAUGGCUAAAUUUGAUGCAAAUCUGGUCGAGAAACUUGUGUUACUUGAUUGAAAAAUUAUAUGGAGUGCAAAGAUCCAUACAGUCAAUGAUGCAAGGUUAACUCGGGAACUGCGAGCAGUUCUGCAAAACUGAGGAUGAAAGAGUCACAUGUUUCUGUGCUGCUGGCUGUGCCCUGGGCAAUGACAAAGCCUGUGUUUCUGUAGGUAUGAAGCCRUAUUUAUCGUUCAUCCUGUGAGACACACAUCACAUCUGCACCACAUUUGGGAAGKGCUGCUGUGCUGCAGUGCCACUGUAGCUUGGAAAAUAAUGUUAAUUGUUCAAGCCUUUCACAUGGCUUACCGAGCUGUUGAUAAAAAAUUUGAUAAGACCUUAGGUAAAGGACAUAAUUUAAAUAACAUCAAAUUACGCAACUGUGAGGGAGCAAAAAUAGCUCAAGAAAGUAGUCUGUGCAAUUAGUUGUGUUAUCUCAGGGGACUGCAAAAAUCCAUGUCCCAGCAGGAGUAAAGCCAUAUCAGAAACUGAUUACAGUGGGGCUCAGAUUCCUCUUUUCCCRAAGGCACUGAAACCAGGCCCUUCAUUCUAUAGAGGAUUUUAUUAUAAAGUAACAGGUUAGAUUUAUGAUUGAUAGAAGUUGGUGUCUGUUUUCAAGGCCUCUGGGAUAUGCUGAACACCUACAGAUCCAAGAAGAGAAAUCCAAGAAACUUCUCCCUUUACAGUGCACAGUCCACAAGGAACCAUGAUAAUUUCAGUGGUAGUACCAUAAUGUGACUGCAGUUAUAUCUCACUUGUUUAUCCUCAAAUAUCACCUGUUCCAUCUSAAAGGAAUACAAUCUGCCUUUCUCUUUUCUUGUAACAACAGGUUUUCUUCAGUUAACACGUGGUACCCUAAAAAUGCUAAUAACUACUGACAUGGAAUUAAAUUCCAUCAAUUUUGCUUUCAUUCAAAUUCAACAUGGACAGCAGCUGAUCUUUGUCUUGUUGGUUCAAAGAAAAUCCUUUCUUUUCAGAAAAUGGUGCCUUUUUAUGUUCUGAACUUUGGCGGGCUAAGCACCGAUUGGCAGUCUGCCCAUGCAGUGCUACCGCCCACAAACCUUCUUAUCCAAUCACA